CGGACGGUGAGUAACACGUGGAUAACCUACCUAUAAGACUGGGAUAACUUCGGGAAACCGGAGCUAAUACCGGAUAAUAUAUUGAACCGCAUGGUUCAAUAGUGAAAGACGGUUUUGCUGUCACUUAUAGAUGGAUCCGCGCCGCAUUAGCUAGUUGGUAAGGUAACGGCUUACCAAGGCAACGAUGCGUAGCCGACCUGAGAGGGUGAUCGGCCACACUGGAACUGAGACACGGUCCAGACUCCUACGGGAGGCAGCAGUC
rnacentral:rRNA from 1 species